rnacentral:tRNA from 1 species
UGGACUCUUAGUUCAGUUGGUAGAGCAGUUGACUCUUAACCAAUUGGUCCAGGGUUCGAGUCCCUGAGAGUCCAUC